GCAGAGGGCGGCACAACAUCAACUCCCAGUCGUGUUAAAUCAGGACCUCGAGCUGUCAGCGCCGUCAGGAUUACACCGUUAAAAACCAUGAAAGGCUCUCCGGACAUGAUUCCCUCCCCAGAUCUGGACCCGAGCAGAGUUUGCAAAGGUAAAGGAGUUGUAACUCUAAGGGCGACGCUUGUCCACGUAGUCGACGAGGACUUCGUCAAUGAAGAGCCAGUUAUCGUGACACCGACAUGUGAGUCGAGCCCAUUCCACCUCUGGUGAUGAGAUAAUAUUUAG